UCAUGAGCCAUAAAUGUUGCUGAAGUUCUUCAGUGGAGGGUCUCCUCUGUGGGGCAACUGCCAGCAUUUAGUGAUUUAGGUUUUCAAGUGACCCAGAGACAAGAGCUGGAAUGUCAUAAGUCCCUUUUAUGAUAUUCUCCUUGAUCUCUUCCAGGGUGCAUCCUGUGUAGGGUGGUACCCAGUGGUGAUAAAAUAGAGUAAAACACCCGGACUCCACACAUCUGCUUUCUUCCCAUCAUAACCCUCUCCCGGGUACCAGUUCUGGGGCACUGAAGGUCCUGGUUCCACAUUGCCCUUGCAGUACAGUGCCAGCUCUACUUCUGGUAGAAAGACCGAUGUCUGCCAGGUUCUCGUUGCCCUCUUCAUCUAGAAGGAUAUUUUCAGAAUUCAGAUCUCGAUGGACGAUGUCAAGUCAUGACAAAACUUGAUGCCUGACAAGAUCUGCCCGAAUGUUUUCUGUGCCUCUUCCUCCUGCAGCCUGCCCUCUUCCCUUACUCUUGGAACAAGUUUUCUCAGUCACAAAGAAAUGUUGUGGUGUUAUAAGAAUUUGGAAGAGGCAAAUUAUGUUAGGAUGGUGUAGUUUUUCCAGGGUCGCCAUCGAACACGAUAACCAGAGGUCCUGCUCUAGGUUAUCUGUCUAUAAAGUUUAUUGACAAUGGGUGCUUGUGAGGCGAUGAUAGGCCAGUUUCACAGAGCCAAAUGUACCCUAGCCGAUGGUAGGUAGGAACAUGUAUAGCCUUGGCAGAUUCUUCUUUUAGGUGUGGCAGGCCAUGAGAAUGGGUGGUCACUGAGUUUCUAUGCAAGACAGAUCUUUGUGAAGCUGCAACUCAACAACUAACAAGCUAUUAAAUAGCAGUGAAAAAGUUCCACAAUUAUUGAAAUAAUCUCCCUGGUCUGUAGGGACAGAACUGCUGUCAGCCCACAGCCUUAUAUACAGGACACUCACCCCUCACAGUGAGGUCUGACGGAGAAAUGGACCAAUCACAGUAGGCUGUAUAUAACCCACGGUGACUGUUUCCAUGUAUGGCCCCAGGCUCCUUCCCUCUUCACUGUCUCACUCUGUCCUCUCCAGAAGUCCCCUAAUUGCUUCCAGCCAUGUACAGUGUCCCAAGGGAACAGCUCCCUCCAUCACUUCGGCCUGGUGUGUGCUCCAAUGGUGACUAAUUACAAGGAGGUCACUGUCAGACUCUGUACAUUUGCCCCUCUUUGUCUUGAUUCCUAGACUGAAGGCUGAAAAAUAAGAGGACACCACACUUUACAAAAACCGGAACAGGACCCCACCUUGAUGUCUAUGUUGGAUCAGGAAAUCCUGGCAAGCAUAAUGCAGUGACUGCAGAAGGAGCUUCUAAAAAUGUCCUGGGUGAAUGAGCCGGGCUCUCCAAAUUGUGAGCUCUUCUGCUAUCCAGCUGAUGGACUCAGCCUUUUCCUACAGCCUGUGGCUGUUUGUGUAGAAAAGGAUGAGCUGGGAGCAAACCCAGAGCUGUCUGGGAGGGAGUCUCUCUGAUGGAACUGAAGAAAAGCUUUGUUUUGAGUUCUUUCACUUCUUUUUACUGACAGGCUGGGGGAGAUGAGCAAGUCCCCAGGGAUUUUUCCUUGGGGCACAAAAGCACCUUCCUCGAAUAAGGCCCCACUCACUCCAGGGAAAGUGUCAGCAAAGAAAAAAAUAUAACGAAGCCAGCGCAGGGAGAAUAGACAUCUCCUAUCUCCUGUGAUGGUCCAAAAGCAAAAAUCUUGACUCAAACCUCCCAUGUGAAAGCUGAAAUGUGUCUUUAGAAACUUUAGUCAUGUAAAGGGAAAUGGAAGUGGUGGACAUGAGAGGCACUAUGGGAAAGGUAGUUUGUAGUGGCAUGCCAAUAUAGAGAAAGGCAGCUUGGGAAAUGAAGUCUGAAACCUAUUGUUGCUACAGAGAAAAGCAUGCUGGGAAAGACAGCAUAGGAGAUACCUGCAUGCCCAAUUCCUCACUGGGCUCUGCAGGUUGCCUCUUUCAGGGGAGCCACUUUAUUGGUGAACAUAGGGUGGGCUUGUGUGUUUGGAGCCUGAGGGAAGAAGCACACUGUUGACAGGCAAUGCGUGAUUCUCUCGUGCAGUCUCUUGAAGCACCUGAUGUUCAGAAGAGAUGAUGCCUUUUCCAUGUCAAUAGCUGGCCCAGGUGCCAGGUCAUUUCCUCUUCCAAUAUGUCGUGCAGAUACUUGGGGCAGCCACAGUACUGAACAGGCUGCAUAACUAUAAUUGUGGCCCUUCUUCUGGGGACAACAUCCAGGCAUGGAGGCACUGCUAGCCACUUUCUUGCCUGGUGCUGUUGGCACAACAGGCAGGUGCUGUGGUGAGGGCUGGGUGUGGAAGAGGCCAAAGGUGGAUUCACUGGCCCUUUGUUUUAGCUGAAGACCAAGCAUAGAGAGAUGUACUGGGGAAUGGGGAGGCACAAUUCCAAGGUCCACAGACUUGGCUGAGGUGGUGCAGUGAAGUGAUAACCCCAGCUCUUCAUGUGACUGCUCUUUGAUGAUGAAGUAUGUCCCCAUCAUUUCAUUGUAUUUUCUCUUUACAGAGGAUUACAAAAUGGCUUUGAUAUUAAACUGAACACAACAGUGUGUCUAGGAUGUUUGGAUCUAAGUAGGUGGCAUUUGGGAUGUUUUCUUCCCAUUUCAGGAGCCACGGAAGUUGCAGAAGGUCUUCAAUGGAGAGUCUCCUCUCUGGGGCAAUUGUGAGCAUUUACUGAAUUUGGUUUUCAAAUGACCCAGAGACAUGAGCUGGAAUGUCAUAGGUCCUUUUUAUGAUAUUAUCCUCGAUCUCUUCCAGGGUGUCUCCUCGGAAUGGGUGGUACCCGGUGGUAUUAAAAUAGAGCAGCACACGUAGACUCUACACAUCUGCUUUCUUCCCGUCAUAGCCCUCUCCAAGGACCAGUUCUGGGGCAUUGAAGGUCUUGGUAACACAUUAUCCUUGCAGUACAGUGCCAGCUCUACAUCUGGUGGAGAUAACAAAGUCUGUCAACUUCACGUUGCCCUCUUCAUCUGGUAGAAUAUUUUCAGAAUUCAGGUCUUGAUAGACGAUGUCAAGGUCAUGGCAAAACCUGAUGGCUGACACAAUCUCCCUGAAUAUUUUCUGUGCCUCUUCCUCCUGUAACCUGCCCUCAUCCCUUACUCGAUGGAACAUGUUUUCUUAGUCACAAAGAAAUGUGCUGUUGUAAGAAGCUGGAACAGGUGAACGAUGUUAGGAUGGUGUAGUUUAUCCAGGGUCGCAAUCUGACAAGAUAAGGAGAGGUCCUGCUCUAUGUUGUCUAUAACAUUUAUGGUCAAUGGGUGCCUGUUGAAAAAUAAGAGGACACCACACUUUAUAAAAACCUGAGCAGGACCCCACCAUGAUGUCUCUGUGGGCUCAGGAAAUCCUGGCAAGCAUAAUGCACUGACU